rnacentral:rRNA from 1 species
AGUCGACGGCAGCGGGGGAGCUUGCUCCUGCCGGCGAGAGGCGAACGGGUGAGUAAUGCAUCGGAACGUGUCCUGUUGUGGGGGAUAACUGAUCGAAAGAUCAGCUAAUACCGCAUGAGACCUGAGGGUGAAAGCGGGGGAUCGCAAGACCUCGCGCGACAGGAGCGGCCGAUGUCUGAUUAGCUAGUUGGUGAGAUAAAAGCUUACCAAGGCGACGAUCAGUAGCCGGUCUGAGAGGAUGAUCAGCCACAUUGGGACUGAGACACGGCCCAGACUCCUACGGGAGGCAGCAGUGGGGAAUUUUGGACAAUGGGGAAAACCCUGAUCCAGCCAUGCCGCGUGCGGGAUGAAGGCCUUCGGGUUGUAAACCGCUUUUGUCAGAGACGAAAAGGGACGUACGAAUAAUACGUUCCGCUGACGGUAUCUGAAGAAUAAGCACCGGCUAACUACGUGCCAGCAGCCGCGGUAAUACGUAGGGUGCAAGCGUUAAUCGGAAUUACUGGGCGUAAAGGGUGCGCAGGCGGCUGUGCAAGACAGAUGUGAAAUCCCCGGGCUUAACCUGGGAACUGCAUUUGUGACUGCACGGCUAGAGUUUGUCAGAGGAGGGUGGAAUUCCGCGUGUAGCAGUGAAAUGCGUAGAUAUGCGGAAGAACACCAAUGGCGAAGGCAGCCCUCUGGGACAUGACUGACGCUCAUGCA